GACGAACGCUGGCGGCGUGCUUAACACAUGCAAGUCGAACGGAAAGGCCCUGCUUUUGUGGGGUGCUCGAGUGGCGAACGGGUGAGUAACACGUGAGUAACCUGCCCUUGACUUUGGGAUAACUUCAGGGAACUGGGGCUAAUACCGGAUAGGAGCUCCUGCUGCAUGGUGGGGGUUGGAAAGUUUCGGCGGUUGGGGAUGGACUCGCGGCUUAUCAGCUUGUUGGUGGGGUAGUGGCUUACCAAGGCUUUGACGGGUAGCCGGCCUGAGAGGGUGACCGGCCACAUUGGGACUGAGAUACGGCCCAGACUCCUACGGGAGGCAGCGGUUGGGAAUAUUGCACAAUGGGCGGAAGCCUGAUGCAGCAACGCCGCGUGCGGGAUGACGGCCUUCGGGUUGUAAACCGCUUUCGCCUGUGACGAAGCGUGAGUGACGGUAAUGGGUAAAGAAGCACCGGCUAACUACGUGCCAGCAGCCGCGGUGAUACGUAGGGUGCGAGCGUUGUCCGGAUUUAUUGGGCGUAAAGGGCUCGUAGGUGGUUGAUCGCGUCGGAAGUGUAAUCUUGGGGCUUAACCCUGAGCGUGCUUUCGAUACGGGUUGACUUGAGGAAGGUAGGGGAGAAUGGAAUUCCUGGUGGAGCGGUGGAAUGCGCAGAUAUCAGGAGGAACACCAGUGGCGAAGGCGGUUCUCUGGGCCUUUCCUGACGCUGAGGAGCGAAAGCGUGGGGAGCGAACAGGCUUAGAUACCCUGGUAGUCCACGCUGUAAACGGUGGGUACUAGGUGUGGGGUCCAUUCCACGGGUUCCGUGCCGUAGCUAACGCUUUAAGUACCCCGCCUGGGGAGUACGGCCGCAAGGCUAAAACUCAAAGGAAUUGACGGGGCCCCGCACAAGCGGCGGAGCAUGCGGACUAAUUCGAUGCAACGCGUAGAACCUUACCUGGGUUUGACAUGGAUCGGGAGCGCUCAGAGAUGGGUGUGCCUCUUUUGGGGUCGGUUCACAGGUGGUGCAUGGCUGUCGUCAGCUCGUGUCGUGAGAUGUUGGGUUAAGUCCCGCAACGAGCGCAACCCUUGUUCACUGUUGCCAGCACGUUAUGGUGGGGACUCAGUGGAGACCGCCGGGGUCAACUCGGAGGAAGGUGGGGAUGACGUCAAGUCAUCAUGCCCCUUAUGUCCAGGGCUUCACGCAUGCUACAAUGGCUGGUACAGAGAGUGGCGAGCCUGUGAGGGUGAGCGAAUCUCGGAAAGCCGGUCUCAGUUCGGAUUGGGGUCUGCAACUCGACCUCAUGAAGUCGGAGUCGCUAGUAAUCGCAGAUCAGCAACGCUGCGGUGAAUACGUUCCCGGG
rnacentral:rRNA from 1 species